UGCCCCGUUGCCUAGUGGAUAGCACUGUUGUUUUUGAAAUUCUGAUCGCGGGUUCGAACCCCACCAGGGUCA